ACAACAACAUAACCGCCUGUAGUGUAAAGACAACAAAAUAGCCGUCUGUUGUGUAAAGACAACAAAAUAGCCGUCGGUAGUGUAAAGACAACAAAAUAACCGCCUGUAGUGUAAAGACAACAACAUAACCGUCUGUAGUGUAAAGACAACAAAAUAAUCGUCUGUUGUGUAAACACAACAAAAUAACCGUCGGUAGUGUAAAGACAACAAAAUAACCGUCUGUUGUGUAAACACAACAAAAUAGCCGUCGGUAGUGUAAACACAACAAAAUAACCGUCUGUUGUGUAAACACAACAAAAUAACCAUCUUGUGAAGAAUAUGAUAGUCUGUAUCUGUGAGUCGUUGAAUGUGAUAUUCCUGGCGGCUAGAACUAUUCUACUAAACAUAGGGCAUCUAAUAAGUGCAUUUAAUUUAGUUUCUCAUGAUGAAGUUAUAACAAGUUUUAUUAUUAGUACAGAUUUAGUUCAUCCUUCAGAAGUGGUUUUGUGAGAGAGUCCAUGUAAUCAAUUUUGAUAAUUUUGAAAUAAUCCUGAAAGUGAUAUGUGAUUGUUAUCUGUGCCCAGUCAACUGUGAAGGAUUAACAUGGUUUAAUAACUGGAACAGAAUGUCAGCUAGUUACAGUAUGAUCACAAAGAAAUUUCUGAUAUUACAGUAGACGAUAUUACACAUUUGAUACAGCAGUUAACAUAAAUAAGUAUUAACAUCACAGUUUAACUUUUCACAAAAUUCAGUAUGAAAAUGAUUUGGAAUUUUAAUCAAAGUCCCAGAUGAUUUUGUGAAACAUAUUGUUUUCGGUAUAUAUAAAGUUGUAUUAAUGAAUUAUUUGUGUAUGCGCUUUUAUAAUAACCAUUUUUGCGAUUUAUUUUUGUGUACUUACUUUGAAAAGUAAUUAAUGUUCGUACAUUUGGUAUAUUGACAUCGUGAACCAGUUUGGUGCUAGGUAAAAGAAAAAUAGUUUUCUUUUUUUAAUUCCUAACUUUUUUCGUCAUUUAAAGUCGUUCUUGCCUCUGAAAUAGCCUGGCUGUAUCAGGAUAAACUGUUUCGAAUCAGAAUUUAUUUGCAAAGUGGGGAAACAAAGAAAUACUUAAUGAAAUGUCAUGAUUUGAUGCAGAAAUUUCUGAGAAGUUCUAUUUUGAUAUAAACUGAUCAUGUUUGACCAGAUACUAAUGUUCAGUUAUCUAAUAGACUUUACUGUUUGGAUAUAGCAUGUUGAGUUUGAUUUCACAAAUUAAUCCGUAAGGAUAUCAGUUGUAUAAAUAUAUUUGUAUUCUUAAUCAUUUUUGUGAAUUUACAAACUACAUCGUACUCGAAGUGUGGGUAAAUUUCAGUAAGUGUGAGUGAAGUGAAACUGUCAUUGUUAGCAUUAACGUAACUAUGUAGUCAGUAAAACGUUUGUUUUGAUGAAAACUACAUUAAAUCAUUAUCACUCUG